AGCAGUUUAACCCUUGCUGGAAAAAUUUAAUUAUGAUCCAUGUUUUAAAAAAAAAACAAUUGACUUAAAAAUAAGGCUGGAGUAAGGUGAGUAAAUGUAGAACCUCGUUCUUGUUCCACGUUAUGGUUCCACUGGUCAUAUAACAGGGAUGAAAGUGUUAGUAAGAAACUGUCAUAAACAUCUACCUGACCCCUCGUCCCUAAAAACCUACUCCAACUGACCCCUCGUCCCUAAAAUCCUACUCCAACUGACCCCUCGUCCCUAAAAAUCCUACUCCAACUCACCCCCCGUCCCUAAAAACCUACUCCAACUCACCCCCCGUCCCUAAAAACCUACUCCAACUCACCCCCCGUCCCUAAAAACCUACUCCAACUGACCCCUCGUCCCUAAAAUCCUACUCCAACUGACCCCACGUCCCUAAAAUCCUACUCCAACUGACCCCUCGUCCCUAAAAUCCUACUCCACCUGACCCCUCGUCCCUAAAAUCCUACUCCAACUGACCCCUCGUCCCUAAAAUCCUACUCCAACUGACCCCUCGUCCCUAAAAUCCUACUCCAAAUCAUUGAGAAAACGUUGGAACAUUUAAACCAUGAAUCCUUCCAUCUUCGUAAAGGGAGGGGUUGGACGAGUGCUUGCGUUGAACACAAUAGAGAUCUGAAAUAUGAUUACCGAUGAGGACAAUUGGCCUAACCCCCUCUGAUCAACAGAAAAUGGAUGUCCAUUGCAACGAGACCAGAGAAUUUCUUCUGUAUUCAAACAGGCUCCUCAUUUGCGUCUAACCGUUAAUGAAACAAAGCUUAUGCUGUUAUUCAAUCUAAACCGCCAUCAUUGUAAUCAGUUUAUUAACAAUAUUUAUCCCUUAAGUGUUAAUAUGCUACGCUAACAACAUUCCUCCUGCCAGCGCACGUAGUCCUCUGAAGUGAAAACACCUGUGAGGGAGGUCGGACUGGGGGCCUGUAGGUUUUGAUACCUUAACCCAGUCAGAUACUGGAUUCCAUCUGACAGCAGGUUAUAUGCAUUGAAGCUUUUCCGAUUGAGCCAACAUUUGCAGCAAUUACCAUGAAUGGUAAUCUCUAUGGAGGGCAAUCUCUGCAAACACUGCUUUCUUAAAAGGAAAAAUAUGUAAGAUUUCUACUGUACUACUACCAUAAAAAAGCAAACAUGACCAGAAUACAUCUGCAGUUUUAAAAUAAUGUUUCAAUCUUCAUCGACAACAUUUGUGACAGAAAUCCCCCAUUUAAAUGUUCUCAUCAGUCCAUGCAUUAAUUUAUAAUCUCUUAAGUGACUUCUGACCCUCGCAGUACUAGCCUUCCCAACCUAACCCACCCUGGACUAGCUAGUACUACACAGGUCAGUACUAUCCUUCCCAACCUAACCCACCCUGGACUAGCUAGUACUACACAGGUCAGUACUAUCCUUCCCAACCUAACCCACCCUGGACUAGCUAGUACUACACAGGUCAGUACUAUCCUUCCCACCCUGGACUAGCUAGUACUACACAGGUCAGUACUAUAUUUCCCACCCUGGACUAGCUAGUACAAUACAGGUCUUGUUCAGUAGGGAAAGACGAGACGAGCCUGGUUGGAGGCAUGAUUCUACACCGUGCCCCUUUAUAUUAUGGAGUUGUUCCUCACCAUGACAACAUGCAGAUGUUGUAUCCACCUCCACCAGUCCGUAGUAUGUCCAUGUUGUUUUGUUUUUUUUCUUCAGAUAAACAUACGGACAAUGGUGCUACUUCAGUUGUGUCUGAGUGAAGACAACUGUUCCACCCAACGUCUUAGAAAAGACUCCCCUCAGCCGGUCUUCACUACCGUCACAAAGCACUGUAAUUUGAAUGUAUCUGCUCUGUACAAAUAAGGGCCCUAACAUGGCACCUAAGUCCCUAUUUAGUGCACAUUAGUGCACUAUUUAGGUUAUAAAGGUGCCAUUUGGGACACGCAAGACUGCUGUAAGUACUAUUAGAAAUGGGACAAGCAGAGGUGGGCAGCGUUACAUUACUAAUGCUGUGAUAGUUUAGAAGCAGCUUUCCCGUGACCCCCCCCCCCAGUGGACCCCCACCGCCC
ensembl:lncRNA